CCGUCGCUCAGACCAUCACACCUCUCUGUGCUCUCUCUGCUCUCUGCUUUCUUCAUCUCCAGGUCUCCCAUCUGUCCCUGUCUCUACCAUCCUCAUCCUCACUCUGUCUCUCCAUGGGAGUCAUGUCCUCCCCCAGGUUCCUGUCACUUCAUCUGCUUGGAGCCUUGCUGCUGCCGCUGCUGCUGCUGCCUGGUUCUUGGGCCCAGCAUUAUGAUGAUUUCACAUCAUCUCCAGAUUACGACUCUGACUACAACUCCACCUUUGAGUACAGCUUCUUCAGUAAUACGAGCAGCGAGGACCUGGACAGACUUGUGGAACGCUACCUCGAUCCAGACGAAACUACGGAGGACACUGGAGGACCAGAGGAGGAAGUGGCUGUAACCAUGGUGAUUACAAGAAGAACAACAGAGGGGGUCAACGCUCACGGCACUGCACCAUUUCAGUGGCUCUCAUACACCUUCGUAAUUUUCAGCUUCGCCACUUCUUCCACACUAAAGGUGUGUGAGUGCACAGCGAAGGUGGGGAGGGUCCUGUUGUGUUGAGAGAUUUGAUUAGACAGUCUCAGUAUUGAAAAUGAGUGACGGGCUGUGCAUCCGACCUUCAAUUGGCCCAAACGUGCAUCUACCUCCCGGGAGAAGCCCGGCGUUCAGAGAUAUCGAUCGUGUUCUGAGGAAAACGAACUCUUUAGCUUCUGCUGAGCUCCUUCAUGAUUCCUCAGCUCCAGGUUUGGAUCGGAGCUGCAGGACCUGCUGAUCCACAUCCAAGCUGAGCUCUGCUGGAAAUCAGGACGCUGCUCUGGACUCUGGUGAUCCUGUUGGUCCUGCAGCAGCUGCAACACACACUCUGGUGACAGGUGUCGAGACAAGCCCCUCAGCUCCGUCCUCAGUGAACAUGGCUCCUCAUGGGAGCAGGUGGACCAAUCACAGAGCUUCUUUCCUGAACCAUUUCAGAAAGUUUGCAGACAAACGCCUGGAAGAUUUCACUACGUGGUGACAUUUUUAUUAUACGUAAAGAAGUUUUUUGAUGGAACUGCUGAAUAAGCCAUACUUUAGAAAAGAUGUUUAUAUUUGUAAUAAAAAGAUGUUUUUAAAGACAAUAUGAAGUUAUUUUGUGUCCUUAUUGUGCAAACAAACAACAUAAGUGUUUGUAGUUGAGUGCAAACAAGCACUGUGUUACAGAAUAAACAUGUUGAUGGACGGGGUCAGCGGGGGCCUGGAGCUUUCAUUUUUUCUCCAAAUCACAAGUGUUGUUGGCUGAACUGUGAAACGUCAGCUGAAAGAUUUCUAUUACAGCAGAACCGUCACUGUGCAAACGUUUGCAUCUGUUCAUAUUCAGGAUCCAGGAGCGGAUUUGGAUCCACAGUUUAAUCACAGAUUUAUUUGACUUGCGAUACAUUUUUGAUUGUGCUGUUUAUAGUUUUCCUCUAAAUCCUGUUUGUUUGCAUAAAAAAGACACAAAAGUGACAGAAUAAAAACACGAUUGUAUGAAUGAGCAUAUUUGCAGAUACAUUUAUAUAUAAACAAAUAAAGAUGAAGUAUUUAAAGUGGACCCCAGCAUCCUCCGUGGUUACAAUCAUCAGUUUGUCAGCGACAUGUUUGAUUGUUUAUUUGGAUGUUUGAUCUUCCUGUUCGAAAAAACAAAACUGCAGUCCCAUCGACAACAUGC
ensembl:lncRNA